rnacentral:rRNA from 1 species
CCUACGGGUGGCAGCAGUGAGGAAUAUUGGUCAAUGGGCUUACGCCUGAACCAGCCAAGUAGCGUGAGGGAAGACUGCCCUAUGGGUUGUAAACCUCUUUUGUCAGGGAGCAACGCCGGCUACGUGUAGCCGGACUGAGAGUACAUGAAGAACAAGCAUCGGCUAACUCCGUACCAGCAGCCGCGGUAAUACGGAGGAUGCGAGCGUUAUACGGAUUUAUUGGGGUUAAAGGGUGCGUAGGCGGGAUGACAAGUCAGCGGUACAAUCGCGUGGCUCAACCUCGCUCCGCCGGUGAGACUGGCGUUCUUGAGUGGGCGAGAAGUAUGCGGAAUGCGUGGUGGAGCGGUGAAAUGCAUAGAUAUCACGCAGAACGCCGAUUGCGAAGGCAGCAUACCGGCGCCCAACUGACGCUGAAGCACGAAAGCGUGGGUAUCGAACAGGAUUAGAUACCCCAGUAGUC